AGAGCGAACGCUGGCGGCAGGCCUAACACAUGCAAGUCGAGCGCCCGUAGCAAUACGGGAGCGGCAGACGGGAUAGUAACACGUGGGAACGCGCCCUUCGGUUCGGAAUAACUCAGGGAAACUUGAGCUAAUACCGGAUACGCCCUUACGGGGAAAGAUUUAUUGCCGAAGGAACGGCCCGCGUCCGAUUAGCUAGUUGGUGAGGUAAUGGCUCACCAAGGCGACGAUCGGUAGCUGGUCUGAGAGGAUGACCAGCAUCACUGGGACUGAGACACGGCCCAGACUCCUACGGGAGGCAGCAGUGGGGAAUAUUGGACAAUGGGCGCAAGCCUGAUCCAGCCAUGCCGCGUGGAUGAUGAAGGCCUUAGGGUUGUAAAGUCCGUUUAACGGGGAAGAUAAUGACGGUACCGUAGAAUAAGCCCCGGCUAACUUCGUGCCAGCAGCCGC
rnacentral:rRNA from 1 species